rnacentral:rRNA from 1 species
GAUUGAACGCUGGCGGCAUGCUUUACACAUGCAAGUCGGACGGCAGCACAGAGAAGCUUGCUUCUUGGGUGGCGAGUGGCGAACGGGUGAGUAAUAUAUCGGAACGUACCGAGUAAUGGGGGAUAACUAAUCGAAAGAUUAGCUAAUACCGCAUAUUCUCUGAGGAGGAAAGCAGGGGACCUUCGGGCCUUGCGUUAUUCGAGCGGCCGAUAUCUGAUUAGCUAGUUGGUGGGGUAAAGGCCUACCAAGGCGACGAUCAGUAGCGGGUCUGAGAGGAUGAUCCGCCACACUGGGACUGAGACACGGCCCAGACUCCUACGGGAGGCAGCAGUGGGGAAUUUUGGACAAUGGGCGCAAGCCUGAUCCAGCCAUGCCGCGUGUCUGAAGAAGGCCUUCGGGUUGUAAAGGACUUUUGUCAGGGAAGAAAAGGCUGUUGCUAAUAUCGACAGCUGAUGACGGUACCUGAAGAAUAAGCACCGGCUAACUACGUG